CCAAAGGAAAUGAAGACAUAGUUUGUUACAAGAAGAAGGAAGUUGAAAUGGGAAGGAGGUUGUUGUGAGUGAGCUAUGGAGUCUGUAUGAAGAAGACUUUCUGAGCAUAAAUUCCUGAGAAGUUGGGGAGGAUGGGCUUCUGAAUACAGAUGGGUGAAGUGGAUUGGGUAAGAAGAGAGACACCAGGUCUAAUGUUGCCUAAAAGAGGAGGGAGAGAUGCCUAAGACCAGAACUCAGAGGAACUGAAUAUAAAAUAGUCCUGGAAACAGAUUGUUUGGUCUGAGUAUAUCAUUGAAGACCAUUUCAAAUCAGAUUUUUUCAGGGCAACUCCUCACUCCACGCUCCCAGUUAUGUCUCCAGAGGGUCUGGGAGUUAGGGGGAAAGGGCUGCUUGAAGACAUUCCACAAGUAAUCCUGCAAUGGCCAAGAGGAGAGACAAUUUCACACCUGCCUCUUCAAGUUGACUUUGGACUCCCAUACCUUUUUCCAUUUGGAAUCGCGUCAAUCAGUUUUACAGCUGAAGGCAGUGACGUGCUGACAGAAGGUGAAUGCUACGCGAUCUGCUUUAUGAUUACAUUUGCUGUUUACUGCUCUAAAAGUUUGGAGAAAUUAUUUUCUUUUCAAACUGGGAAUGAAAGCUUCAUAAAUAUUAAUCUCAGUUAAUAAUAUUGUGGGAACCCUGGAUGCCAGAGGUAAGUAGCACUCAGUUCAUGACAGCUUGACAAGGGACCAGUUUUCUUAUUUGGGGAUGUGAGUCUGUCCUUGAUGUUUAUAAACUGGUUCUUGGAACUUCCUUUCUUCUCAUGACACCAUGAACCAAAAUGUAGUGAUUUGCCUUUUUCCGUCUCAUCCAUGAGAUGUGUUGUCUUUUUUUUCUUUCUUUUUUUGGCCUUUUCUUUUCUUCCAAUAAUUUUCCUUCUGUUUCUUAAUUAUUUGGUUCCCACCUCUGUUUAUAGAUUAUAUUCCAUCCACUUUAGAGUCCAUACUAUAAAAAUACCCAAAGUUUCAUUUUUGUGUCUGAAGGACACAGUGUUAAAUCUCCAAAUACAAAUAUAUAUUACCUGAGUAGCUAUUGUUACCUGACACCAUUGUCAGAACAGAAUUCAUUUAUGUCUGUCCAAAUCAGCUUUCUUGAUGUUUUUAUAUCAUCACAGUUCUAAACAUAGAUGCAAAAUCUCCAUAUCUUCUAGGUUUAAAAUUUCCUAUUUUUCUUCAUCUAAUUCAAUCAAUUAUUGGUUCUUAUUUUUUGCUUAUAAUGCUCUUAAAAUUUCUUUUUCCUAGAAUGGUUGAAGAAUUAUAUUUAAAAACUGGGAAUAUUAACAUCUUGAACUUAUGCUUAAAUGAUAUAAUGGCCAGCCUCCAAGAUGGCUCCCAAUGCUAUCCACAUCUUAUGUUCAUGUCCUUAUGUGAUUUGUUUCCACGUUUCAUUAGGCUAAGUUUGAGUGGUAAAUAGAACUCAGCAGAAUUGAUUGUGUGUCACUUCUGAGAUUCUGUCAUAAAAGACACUACAGUUUCCAUCCUGGCCAUGCCUUUUCUCAUGCCUUUUCCUCUUGAUUCAUUUCCACCAUGAGAUAAGAAACUCUACAGAGAAGUCCAUGUGGCAACUGGACUGAGACUACUGUCCAAAGCCAGUGGAAACUGAGACCUACUGCCGGCAGUCAAGUGAGUUUGGAAGUAAAUCCCUCACCCUCACGUAAGUCUUUUGGUAACUAUAGCCCUAGUAGACAGCUUGUUCACAGCCUUAUUUGAGACUCACCUCAGAGACACGUAGCUAAGCUUCUUCCAAAUUCCUGACCUGUAGAAACUGUGUGAGAUAAUAAAUGUUGGCUUAAGCUAAGUUUUGGGGUUAAAUUGUUAUGUAUCAAUAGAUAACUAAUAAAUGACUUUCUAAUAUAAAAAUAAUAUUUAUAUGAUUCAUUGUCUUGAAACAAUCAAAGAAGUUAGAGGGGUCCAGCAGAACUCUGCUGAAGUCAUACAGUCUUGAGGAGAAGAGUCUGCCCCCUGAAUGGGGAGAGGGGUCAGUGGCCCUGGCAUGGACAAUCUCUACUCUUGAGACGCUAUCAGAAAACAUAAAGGAUUAGAGUCAGAAGAGAUGUUAAGAGUUAUCUAAGUUUACCCAAAGCAACCAUCUCCCCUGUAGCCUUUUGAAAAGUGACUGAAAGGAUCUGUAAGGAAGAGAUUUACCUAGGAUUUUUGAAAGUUAUGUGGUAGCUGUGGGAGGAUUCAAGUAGCAGCUCAAGCUCUGAUGAGAAAGACGAAGUAGUUGCUUCUUUACCUUUUCAUCACAAUUAUAAAACAUUAACUGACAACCUAUACAUAUCUAGAUGAUAGAUCUGGCAAAGCUACUAGCACAUUGUGUAGAAUAGCUGGUGUACAGAAUGUUUUUCUUCUAAAACAAAGUAUUCUUGCAGUGUUUCAUGUUCAAGAAUAUAUUCAUCAAACUCCAAGAGUUUUGGCCAGACUUCAGAUAACAGCCAAUGAGUCACUUUAAAGGAUGUCAAUGGAAAGUCCCAGGAGAUCAUCUUAGAAAGAACAGAGUACUCUUGUACAACUUCUGGGUACCAAGGAAACAGACUUUCUUGCACAACCUCUGAGCACCGAGAUGAUGCUGUAGCUGGUGUUAAGUCUGCAGGAAAUGAAGAAAUGUCACAGAUCACUACACUCCCUUAACCGAUUGAACACCUUUAAAAAUCUCUGGGCCAGGCAGAAACCUGAGAGUUGGCCUUUGGACAAGAGCCCAACUUCUCCCCAGAUGAAGUCUCAGCUUCCAGAAUAAAACUCAUAUUCUUUCCCAAUCAAAACUCAUCUCUUGAGUAUUGGCCUUUCCAGCGAGAGGCAGACGAACUUGGGUUUUGGUAACAAGAACACUUAGGUUAACCUACAAUUGGACAAAAUCAUCUAACACAAAGCUUAUUUUAUAAUAAACUGCUGAAUAUCUUAUGUAACCUUUUGAAUACUGUACUGAAAGUAAGUAAGAAAUGGAAUGGUUGUAUGGGUAUGGAAAGGUUGUAAGUGUAUUGGUUGCUUUACCCUCAUGAUCAAGUGGCUAACAGAGUGCAGCUCGCCCGCUGCUGCCCAGCAUCUGGAAGAGUAUUUCACUGCCUUAUCACCAGCCCAGGAAAAGAUCAAAAUUAAAAUUUUAAGUACUGUUUCUAACUGAAUGUGUAUUGCUUUCACACCAUCAUAAAGUCAAAAAGUUAAAAGUUUGAACCAUUGUUAAGUCGGGAACCAUCUGUAUGUGUAGUUUGUUUUUGGUUUAAAAAAAUAUUACAGGAGUGCCUGGGUGGCUUAGUUGACUGAGCAUCUGACUCUUGAUUUUGGCUCAGGUCAUGAUCUCAGGGUCUUGGAAAUGAGCCCCGGAUCAAGCUCUGUAUGGAGUCUGCAUUCUCUCUCUCUCUCAAAAAUAAAAACAAAAAUUCAAAUUCAAAUUAAAAAAAAAUUAGAACCCUAGACUGCUAAUUGGGGAUGAUGAAACAUUCCAGAAUUAGAUAAUAGUAAUAUCUACACUAUUCUGCGAAUAUACUAAAAACCACUAAAUUAUAUUAUGAGGAUGAAUUUUCAGGUAGGAGAAUUAAUCUUUAUAUAAAGCUUUUAUUUAAAAUUUGAAGAAUUUUUAAUGUUAUU